CCUACGGGUGGCAGCAGUCGAGAAUCAUUCACAAUGGGGGAAACCCUGAUGGCGCGACGCCGCGUGGGGGAAUGAAGGUCUUCGGAUUGUAAACCCCUGUCAUGUGGGAGCAAAUUAAAAAGAUAGUACCACAAGAGGAAGAGACGGCUAACUCUGUCCCAGCAGCCGCGGUAAUACAGAGGUCUCAAGCGUUGUUCGGAAUCACUGGGCGUAAAGCGUGCGUAGGCUGUUUCGUAAGUCGUGUGUGAAAGGCGCGGGCUCAACCCGCGGACGGCACAUGAUACUGCGAGACUAGAGUAAUGGAGGGGGAACCGGAAUUCUCGGUGUAGCAGUGAAAUGCGUAGAUAUCGAGAGGAACACUCGUGGCGAAGGCGGGUUCCUGGACAUUAACUGACGCUGAGGCACGAAGGCCAGGGGAGCGAAAAGGAUUAGAUACCCGAGUAGUC
rnacentral:rRNA from 1 species